rnacentral:rRNA from 1 species
AUUGAACGCUGGCGGCAGGCCUAACACAUGCAAGUCGAACGCGUGGCGGACGGGUGUGUAAUGUCUGGGACACUGCCUGAUGGAGGGGGUUAACUACUGGCAACGGUAGCUAAUACCGCAUACCAUCGGAUGUGCCCAGAUGGGAUUCGCUAGUAGGUGGGUUAACUGCUCACCUAGGCGACUAUCCCUAGCUGGUCUGAGAAGAUGACCAGCCACACUGGAACUGAGACACGGGCCAGACUCCUACGGGAGGCAGCAGUGGGGAAUAUUGCACAAUGGGCGCAAGCCUGAUGCAGCCAUGCCGCGUGGAUGAAGAAGGCCUUCGGGUUGUAAAGUACUUUCAGCGGGGAGGCGUUACCCGCAGAAGAAGCACCGGCUAACUCCGUGCCAGCCGCCGCGGUAAUAC